rnacentral:rRNA from 1 species
UACGGAGGGGGCUAGCGUUGUUCGGAAUCACUGGGCGUAAAGCGCACGUAGGCGGAUCGUUAAGUCGGGGGUGAAAUCCCGAGGCUCAACCUCGGAACUGCCUUCGAUACUGGCGAUCUUUGAGUCCGGGAGAGGUGAGUGGAACUCCGAGUGUAGAGGUGAAAUUCGUAGAUAUUCGGAAGAACACCAGUGGCGAAGGCGGCUCACUGGCCCGGUACUGACGCUGAGGUGCGAAAGCGUGGGGAGCAAACAGG